rnacentral:pre_miRNA from 1 species
UGAAGAAUGGCAGGGCAAUUCUCCUUUGGCGGAAAUAGUGUCCCCAAUUAAUCAUCCGACAUCUUUCUGCCAAAGGAGAAUUGCACUAUAAUUCUGCU